rnacentral:rRNA from 1 species
CCUACGGGCGGCUGCAGUGGGGAAUCUUGCACAAUGGGGGAAACCCUGAUGCAGCGACGCCGCGUGAACGAUGAAGCCCUUCGGGGUGUAAAGUUCUUUCGACGGGGACGAUAAUGACGGUACCCGGAGAAGAAGCUGCGGCUAACUACGUGCCAGCAGCCGCGGUAAUACGUAGGCAGCAAGCGUUGUUCGGAAUUACUGGGCGUAAAGAGUGCGUAGGCGGUUAACUAAGUUUGGUGUGAAAUCUCCCGGCUUAACUGGGAGGGUGCGCCGAAAACUGGCUAGCUAGAGUGUGGGAGAGGAUAGUGGAAUUCCUGGUGUAGCGGUGAAAUGCGUAGAUAUCAGGAGGAACACCUGCGGUGUAGACGGCUAUCUGGACCAUGACUGACGCUGAGGCACGAAAGCGUGGGUAGCAAACAGGAUUAGAUACCCCGGUAGUC